UAGCCAUGAUGUGGACAUGAAUUAAUGAGAUCCUUGUAUCGCUCCUAACAUUGGAAGAAGGUCACUUCCUCUUUUUGAGUGAAAUUCAUGAUUGUCUUCCUUAAGGUA